AGCAGCCGCGGUAAUUCCAGCUCNNAUAGCGUAUAUUAAAGUUGUUGCAGUUAAAAAGCUCGUAGUUGAAUUUCGGGAUCAUCGGGUUGGUCGUGCCACUGGUAUGUACUUGCCUCGGUGGUCCCUCCCUCUUGAAGAACCGUAAUGCCAUUAAUUUGGUGUUGCGGGGAAUCAGGACUGUUACUUUGAAAAAAUUAGAGUGUUUAAAGCAGGCAAACGCUUGAAUACAUUAGCAUGGAAUAAUGAAAUAGGACGUUUGAUCUUAUUUUGUUGGUUUCUAGGAUCNACGUAAUGAUUAGUAGGGAUAGUUGGGGGCAUUAGUAUUCAAUUGUCANAGGNGAAAUUCUUGGAUUUAUUGAANACUGACUACUGCGAAAAGCAUUUGCCAAGGAUGNUUUCAUUAAUCAAGAACGAAAGUUUAGGGGAUCNAAAUACGAUCAGAUACCGUCGNNAGUCUUANCCCAUAAACUAUGCCNACUAGGUGAUCGGAUGAUGUUAAUUUUUNAAUGACUCA
rnacentral:rRNA from 1 species